rnacentral:rRNA from 1 species
GACGAACCGUGCGAACGUUAUUCGGAAUCACUGGGCUUAAAGGGUGCGUAGGCGGGAUCGAAAGUCAGGGGUGAAAGCCUCCAGCCCAACUGGAGAAGCGCCUUUGAUACUGCGGUCCUCGAGGGGUGCAGGGGCAUGCGGAACUCAGGGUGGAGCGGUGAAAUGCGUAGAUAUCCUGAGGAACACCGGUGGCGAAAGCGGCGUGCUGGACACCUUCUGACGCUGAGGCACGAAAGCCAGGGGAGCGAACGGG